CAGUAGCGUCUAGACAAACACUGCCCCCAAGCCGGUUUCCAAUGCAUCAGCUUUCUACAGUAGAGGGCGCCAGAUUGCUGGUUACUCUGCCACGGAUGCAUUGCUACAAUCAAGGCAAACCAACUCUAACGUCACGGUAAAGCGUACCCCUGGAUUCCUGAGCGUCUCUAACUCAAAGAGGUUGUACCCGAUCACAAGCUACCCGGCUGGAGGCAGAAGAGCAUCCCCACAGCAGUCAAGACGUCUCAGAUCAGUCUACAAGGGUAGG